GACGGAGGAUGCAAGUGUUAUCCGGAAUCACUGGGCGUAAAGCGUCUGUAGGUGGUUUAAAAAGUCUACUGUUAAAAAUUGAAGCUUAACUUCAAAGAUGCCGUAGAAACUUUUAAACUUGAGGAUGGUAGGGGUAGAGGGAAUUUCCAGUGGAGCGGUGAAAUGCGUAGAUCUUGGAAAGACCACCAAUGGCGAAGGCACUCUACUGGGCCAUUACUGACACUGAGGGAUGAAAGCUAGGGGAGCGAAAGGG
rnacentral:rRNA from 1 species